rnacentral:rRNA from 1 species
UGCAAGUCGAACGGCACCCCUCUCCGGAGGGAAGCGAGUGGCGAACGGCUGAGUAACACGUGGAGAACCUGCCCCCUCCCCCGGGAUAGCCGCCCGAAAGGACGGGUAAUACCGGAUACCCCCGGGCGCCGCAUGGCGCCCGGGCUAAAGCCCCGACGGGAGGGGAUGGCUCCGCGGCCCAUCAGGUAGACGGCGGGGUGACGGCCCACCGUGCCGACAACGGGUAGCCGGGUUGAGAGACCGACCGGCCAGAUUGGGACUGAGACACGGCCCAGACUCCUACGGGAGGCAGCAUG